rnacentral:rRNA from 1 species
GAUGAACGCUGGCGGCAUGCCUAAUACAUGCAAGUCGAGCGAACGGACGAGAAGCUUGCUUCUCUGAUGUUAGCGGCGGACGGGUGAGUAACACGUGGAUAACCUACCUAUAAGACUGGGAUAACUUCGGGAAACCGGAGCUAAUACCGGAUAAUAUUUUGAACCGCAUGGUUCAAAAGUGAAAGACGGUCCUGCUGUCACUUAUAGAUGGAUCCGCGCUGCAUUAGCUAGUUGGUAAGGUAACGGCUUACCAAGGCAACGAUGCAUAGCCGACCUGAGAGGGUGAUCGGCCACACUGGAACUGAGACACGGUCCAGACUCCUACGGGAGGCAGCAGUAGGGAAUCUUCCGCAAUGGGCGAAAGCCUGACGGAGCAACGCCGCGUGAGUGAUGAAGGUCUUCGGAUCGUAAAACUCUGUUAUUAGGGAAGAACAUAUGUGUAAGUAACUGUGCACAUCUUGACGGUACCUAAUCAGAAAGCCACGGCUAACUACGUG